rnacentral:rRNA from 1 species
UACGAAGGGGGCGAGCGUUGUUCGGAAUUACUGGGCGUAAAGGGCGCGUAGGCGGUCGUGACAAGUCACUUGUGAAAUCUCCGGGCUUAACUCGGAACGGUCAAGUGAUACUGUCGGACUAGAGUACAGAAGGGGCAACUGGAAUUCUCGAUGUAGCGGUGAAAUGCGUAGAUAUCGAGAGGAACACCUGCGGCGAAGGCGGGUUGCUGGGCUGAUACUGACGCUGAGGCGCGAAAGCCAGGGGAGCGAACGGG